rnacentral:rRNA from 1 species
UAGGGAAUCUUGCGCAAUGGGCGAAAGCCUGACGCAGCAACGCCGCGUGGGGGACGAAGGCUUUCUGAGUUGUAAACCCCUUUCAGCAGGGACGAUUGUGACGGUACCUGCAGAAGAAGCACCGGCUAACUACGUGCCAGCAGCCGCGGUGAUACGUAGGGUGCAAGCGUUGUCCGGAUUUAUUGGGCGUAAAGAGCUCGUAGGCGGUUCGAUAAGUCGGGUGUGAAACCCCCAGGCUCAACCUGGGGCCUGCACUCGAUACUGUCGUGACUAGAGUCCGGUAGGGGACCAUGGAAUUCCUGGUGUAGCGGUGAAAUGCGCAGAUAUCAGGAGGAACACCAGCAGCGAAGGCGGUGGUCUGGGCCGGCACUGACGCUGAGGAGCGAAAGCGUGGGGAGCGAACAGG